rnacentral:rRNA from 1 species
UACGUAGGGUCCAAGCGUUGUCCGGAAUUAUUGGGCGUAAAGGGCUCGUAGGCGGUCUGUUGCGUCGGGAGUGAAAACUCAGGGCUUAACCCUGAGCCUGCUUCCGAUACGGGCAGACUAGAGGUAUGCAGGGGAGAACGGAAUUCCUGGUGUAGCGGUGAAAUGCGCAGAUAUCAGGAGGAACACCGGUGGCGAAGGCGGUUCUCUGGGCAUGAUCUGACGCUGAGGAGCGAAAGUGUGGGGAGCGAACAGG